UACGAAGGGGGCUAGCGUUGCUCGGAAUCACUGGGCGUAAAGCGCACGUAGGCGGCUUUUUAAGUCAGAGGUGAAAUCCUGGAGCUCAACUCCAGAACUGCCUUUGAUACUGAGGAUCUUGAGUUCGGGAGAGGUGAGUGGAACUGCGAGUGUAGAGGUGAAAUUCGUAGAUAUUCGCAAGAACACCAGUGGCGAAGGCGGCUUUCUGGACGAUUACUGACGCUGAGACGCGAAAGCGUGGGGAGCAAACAGG
rnacentral:rRNA from 1 species